GUUCAUGAAGCGGACGUGUAUUGGACAUAAGAACCCCGGGCUGCCCCAAGGUCACAAUGUCUGGGUCCAGAAGCUUCACAGGAAGUGCGAGUGACUUCAUAGACUGGUUCAAUGGAACAGAGUUUGAAAAGGUUGUUCUUCCCGCCAACAAGGUCAGCACCGUGAAGCAGGAUUUCAAGGAGGAGGAAUGUUUCUUGCCCCCGCUGCCAGAAGCUCUUCGACAAGAGCAAGGGAAAGCAUAUGCCCUUCAUUACCAAGAGGAGUUCCUGAAUCAGUUGAAGGAAUUGAAUGCUAAGAGAGAAGCCAAAGAGCAGGUGGAUGGAGCUGAUGGAACCCUGGAUGAAGACGAACUGGCGUCAGGAGGCAGCGAAGACGAUGGCACGCGGAGGACUGAUGUCUACCUGCACUACGACUUCACCACCAAGCACCUGGAGCCCACCCUGCCAAUCUUCAAUGCAAGGAAGGAAAUUCUUGACAAAAUUUCCAGCUAUCAAGUUGUUAUUAUUGAAGGAGAAACUGGGUGUGGCAAGUCCACCCAGGUGCCCCAGUUCAUCCUGGACGAGGCCGUGGACAAGCACCAGCACUGUAACAUUGUGGUCACACAGCCACGCAAGAUUGCAGCGUCUUCCCUGGCCAGAAGAGUGUGCAGGGAGAGAGGCUGGCAGCUGGGGAAGCUGGUUGGCUACCAGGUGGGGCUGGACACUUGUCGGGACACAGACACGCGCCUCCUCUAUGUGACAACGGAAACCCUGGUGCAGAAGCUCAUCCACCAGCGCCGCCUGGAUGCCUACACCCACAUCAUCCUGGACGAGGUGCACGAGAGAGACCAGCAGACAGAUUUUGCUCUGCUCAUUGUGAAAAAGUUGAUGCACAGAGUUUCUCCAAAUGUGAAGAUCAUACUGAUGUCAGCCACCAUCAAUGCCUCCAAGUUUGCCGAGUACUUUUCCAUCCCUGUCAUGGGCAAGCUGUCUCCUGCCCCCAUCGUGUCUGCAGGGGAUGAGUCCGUGCAUGAUGUGGUGAUCUAUUAUUUGGACUCACUGCUCAAAGUGUGCCAGAAAAAGCCGAGAGUAUUGCCGCACCUCCCAACAAUUGACCCUGACGACCCCGGCGUGUCUGAAGAAAUGUUUAACCUGACCGUUGAGAUGAUUAAGUUUUUUGAUGAGAUUGAAAGAGAAGACCGACGCACCUCAACAGAACCUGUCAAGAAAAGAGGAGCAGUGUUGGUGUUUCUUCCUGGUUUGGUAGAAAUAGAGAAGCUAAUGAAUAUGCUGGCCAGAGAGUCUGCAAAGUUUCAGUGGCAGUUGUACCCGCUGCACUCCUCCAUCACCAAAGAGGAGCAGCAGAGCGUCUUCAUCAUACCACCAAUAGGUUUUCGGAAGAUCAUCAUCUCGACGAACAUUGCCGAGAGCUCCAUAACCGUGCCAGACAUCAAGUACGUGAUAGAUUUUUGCCUGACCAAAGUGCUGACAUGUGAUGAGGUAACCAACUAUACAUCUCUCAAGCUUGCCUGGACCUCCAAAGCCUCCUGCAAGCAAAGAGCAGGGAGGUGUGGUAGAGUCUCCUCUGGCAGAGUGUACCGGCUGGUUCCCCCUGCAUUCUAUGAGACGCUGCCAGAAUAUGCCACCCCAGAGAUGUGCCGCACGCCUCUCAGCCAAGUGAUCCUCAAGAGCAAAGUGUUGGACAUGGGUGAACCGCACUCCAUCCUGGCCCUGGCCCUGGACCCUCCCGACAUGAUGGACAUUUGCCGCACAGUCCUGACGUUGAAGCAGCUUGGUGCUCUGUCUGUCACUGCCGAUGGAUGCAGGUCUCAUUUGAACGGUGACAUGACCUAUUUAGGGAAGGUCAUCGUUCACCUUCCCAUUGAUCCCCAUUUGGCAAAGCUAAUUGUGAUGGGUCACAUUUGUGGCUGCCUCAGGGAGUGUAUCAUCAUUGCUGCAGCGUUGUCACUGAAGUCUUUCCAUGCCCGACCUUUUCAAGAUGAACUCAACGCCUUCCUCUCCAAGGUCUCGUGGGCAUAUGGCUCCUUCUCCGAUUGCCUGGCAGCCCUCAACACAUAUGAUCUUUGGCAGAGCAUGCAAAGCAGGGGAGAAUUUCUCAUGCCUGGCGGCAAGACUGAAGAAGAGUGGGCCAAGCACAGCUACGUGCAGCUGAACACACUGCAGGAAGUGCACAAGCUGGUGGAGGAACUCAUGGAGCGACUGAAGAGGGUGAAAAUUACUGUUCUGAAUCAUCAGAGCACAUCGAGAAAGGAACAGACCCUGAUCCUCAAGAUGUGCAUGGCAGCUGCCUUCUUCCCACACUACUACAGAAGAGUUGUGCCCGAAGAUUACCAGCAGGAAAUGUGUAGAGAACUCAGUGGACACGACCCUUUCCGAACAGUGAUAGUUAGCGGGAUCCCUGCGGCAACAAACAUCAUUUAUGACUCCCAGAUAAGGAGUCUGUUCAAGGAAUGCUCCCAGAACCUUGUCAUCAGCUAUGAGGGAUCAAAGGCAUUUAUCCAGUUCCCGUACCUGGACGGGUCAUCUGUGAAAGAGGAGCAUUUCCAGAACAUUCCCGGGAGCUGUCCCACCACCAUGCACCUUGCCCUCAAGAUGCGGCAGGUGCCAAGAAUCACCCAAAGCCUCUGCUUAGAUUUGAUAAGUCUUAAAGAUUCUAAAGAGCAAUUUCAAGAAAUUCUUGGACCCACCGUCGACCAUUAUGGCGCCACUCGUGUGGUGAGCAGCGAGGACGCCCAGCCACCGCGUUCCAUCCUUGCCAAGCGCUACGUGAGAGUCACCCAGCCAGCCAGCAGCGCUCUCAAGCCCCCAGUGCUGCCUCCUCCCACAAACCACACAUGGGAUGUUUAUGUCACUCAUGUCGUUACAGCUGGAAACUUUUGGGUGAUAUCAAGCGAGAGGAAUAAUAUCAGUAACCUAAAAUACAUGGAGCAGGUCAUCAUGAAUUCAGUGAAGAAUAUGACUCCUCUCCCUCCCUCUGCAAUAAGCCUCGGCGCAGUGUGUCUUGCCUCCUUCACUGACAGCCAAGGGAUGCAGGCUUACUACAGAGCCAGAGUGGAGGACACCUUCUCUGCUCAAGAUGGGAAGCUCAAAGCAGUGGUUUUCUAUGUGGAUUAUGGGAACAGUGAAGUCGUGGAUGCAUCAGAUUUAAGAGUUCUUCCCAAACGACUACGAGAAGUGAACAUGUUGGCCGUCCAGUGUUUGCUUGCAGAGGUAAAGCCCGCUGCCAAGUACUCCAAUGGGUCCUGGGGCUCAGAUGCAACUUCUUGGCUGCGGAGCUUUGCCCUCAACAAGAACUUCACAGUCCAGAUCUACAGUGUGGUGAGCGGGGUGCUGCGGGUGAACCUCCUAGGGCUGGAGAGGGGAAAGUUCAUCUCUGUCAAUGAGCAACUUGUGUCCAAGGGAUUUGCUGUCAAGGCAGAAGAGUUUUUCUUAUCCAAGCAAAACCAUGAGUUAAGAGCAAUAUACAGCAGCGAAACUGAGGCUUCAUGUCAAGAAGACAACAUAACACCUGCAGCCCUUUCAUCUAGUUCACUGACCUGCUCCAAGUACCCUCCUACAUAUGCGGCCAAGGUAAAACUCCGGGGACCUGACUCUCCUCUACUCAUGAAAUUUGCUGCACUGACUCGCAGCGGGAGCUCCAAGCCUGUAAAGAUGAAUACCUCUUCAGUAAACUCAACUGCCCUGGACCUGGAGCCACAGAACCCACAUGGCAGACUCCUAGUGGCGGGGCACGUGACUUUGAAUCCGUCAAGGUCCGCAGCAACCCUACACAACACCACGCUGAUGCCGGCCAUCCCAGGGAUUCUUCCAAUUUGUCUCCUCUUGUUUUGUCCUGUGGCAGAAAUGAGAGUCAACAGUGGAGGCAGCCACUACACCGGAGCCUUGAUUGGCUUGGGCUGUGAUGAGAGGACGGGUCAAGUCAUUUAUCCUGCUGAUGAUAUUGAGAUUGCUUUUGAUAUCAGCAUCACACAAGAGGAUCUUAUGGUGAUGAAUAAGAUACGCUUUUUGCUGAAUGUUGUGCUGGAAGAUGCUGAGUACAUACCAGAGGCCACCCUGAUUUCAACCCAGAAGUUCCUGCGCCAACUUAUCCUCAAGUUGUUGGAUGAAAAGCGAGAAUACAAGGAGCCGGAAAUGUGCCGUUUUGCCUACUGCUGGAACAUGGUACCACAGGAAGACACCUUGUUCCCUGAGGUUGGGGCAGCCUUGGACAAUACUGACACGGUGUUGUUUCCUCUCCAUAAAGGAAUAUGCCUUCGUCCUGACAAUCAUGAGAAAGAGAUGAAAGAAACUUCCUGAGCUGAGGCCCUACUCCACAGGUGGGGAUACCAGCUAAAUGGAGGCUGUCAGGGCCAAAUGCAUAUGUGCCUUUGAGGAGGGACUACAAACCCUUGCCGGGUGACAGCUCAUGACAGGGAGGGAGGAUGCCGAUAGGCUGAGGCCCAUAUUCUCGUCUCGCAACAUGAUCCGUGAAGUAAAACCUAGCAAUUUCAAGGUUGGUUUCUUCUUCAGUCCAGCCAUGAGCCAUGAAUUGGGAGUGAGCCGCACUUUUCUCAACACUGUGAAGGACCUCCAGCAACAUCUGUCCUCCACUUUGCACACAAAAAAAUGAAGCUAAAUUUCUUUGCUGAAUAGACAGCUUAUACAGUAUAAGUAAAUUUUCAUAUCAAUCAUAAGGAUAUCAAGUACUGAUAUAGCCAACACAAUUAAUAUAUAUUAUUUUAUUUAUCAAUUUUGCUAAUAGGAUGAGUUUCAGCUAACUGUAAAACAAGUCUGUGUAUUACUUCUUUAUAUUAUCAAUAUGAGUUAUGUUUGUGUUUGACAUAGCUGUGUGUGCCUUUGUUGUGUUGCAAGGCAUAGCUUGUGCCAAACUUCAUAUUUGUAACACCUGAAUGGCUUGGAGAUGGAUCAUUGUAGUGCAGUAACUUGUAGCUGUUAAGCAUCAUUUGGGAUUUGGUACUUAGCAAGUUCAAAGGUUGUCAUCACACAUUCCAGAACCAGAACCUUUAAUCUUGUUCAGAACUUUUUAUAUGAAAAUUACUCAAAAUAUUUUUUUUGGUUUGUAUUUUUUAUUUAUGUAAAUUAUUUCGUGUAGAUACAUGAGAGAAUUUAGAUGUUUUUUUUAAAUUGGAUUCAAAUAAAAUCAGCAUAAAAUCAGAUAGUCUGUUAAAGACUUUUAGAAAAAUGAAUUUUCAGAAAAUGUAAACUAACCUGUUUUUUAUGCAAGUAAUAUUAGCUUUGUUAAAAUACCUUUUUACAUAAUAUUUUCUGUAACUAGCCAUUAUUAUUAUUAUUUUUUAAACUACCAGAAAAAGGGAAUUACAUGUCCUUGGGAGUUGCCAAGAAGCUUGAUUGGUGGAGCUCCAGCCCGAGGUGCAGGACUAAUGACUGGAUUCUCUCAAGCAGUAAUGCUUGGUGAUUGUACAAAAGUUUGAUAAUCCAGAAUCCUGCCAGCAAGCAGUAAGAGGAGUUGCAGGAUUUUCUCAAUAACUUUUGGGGGAAAUUACAACCAUGCUUGAAUGUGCAGUUGACAAAUUUAGGCAUUGCCUUACUUAACCCUUUCCACAUUGGUUUUUGACCUUAAAAGUAAUUAAAAUGUCAUUUGUUGUAAUACUGUAACUACUCUAUUACAGAAAUUACCAUCACCUCUGGAACAUGAUUUGUAACAUUGAGGACCCGUUAUCAUGUCAAGGCAAGAGUUUCAUUCAAUCUGUUUUUCAGCAAGUCAAACAUCCUCGUACAGGUAUUGGCAGAGCUUGAAUUACCAAAGUACACUAAUAACAACUAAAGGCCUUUCAGACCUAUUGUAUUACCAUGCUCCAGUUUUCAGUUGUGAUUGCAUUUUAUUAAUUUCAGUGGAGGUCAUCAUAUAUAGUCCACAUUUCUGUAACGCGUUAGUUACACCAUAAUAAUGAAUGGCAAUUUAAUUACUUUUCAGGUCAAAACAAGGUGGAUGGAAAGGUGUUCUCAAAAGUCAAAUUAGAAAGAUACCGGAAGUAAAUCUUGAUGUCCAAUAUGCAAAAUGAAAUAGUGAAAGUAAGCUAAGCACUAUGUUGUUUUACAAAUAAAUUUUGCUGCUGCCUUUUCCGUGAAGCAGCUCUCCCAAAAUAUUAGUGAUUGAUUGAUAUGUGAAUAUGUAUUGCAGAACACUGUACUCUUCAAAUUGUCGUUGGCCUCAUAGGAGGCGGUAUUGAAAAAUGUACAAGACUACAUUUUGUAAAACAAAGAGAAUAAAUGACAUUAAUUUUCCUUUCCCAUGCUCAUGCAGUGGCUAAACUUAGGCUGUGGACAUGCCAAGCUACUGUCAGUACCUUUGAAACUGUAAUUAGCAACUAGUUUUUCUAAGUGAAAAUUACUCAAACGUUUCACUAUUCGCAAAGACUUGUUCUUACUAGAGUGAAGGAGUAGUGAUGGGACAUGGCUUCCCCUCCUCUGUAUUGUAAGUGUGUUCCACGCAUGCCACUUGCUGUGGGAGAAGAAAGUCCAAAACACCGCAGGCCAAGCCAGUCCACUGCAAGACUUCCUGAUGAAACCCACUGUUGUUCUGUGCUAUGCUACCAGGUAUGGUAGCAUGUAGAUAGGUAUGGUAUGAACAUACUUCUUUUACACCUAGCAAGCCUCAAACACCUGUACCUAAGUCUUGGCCCAGGAGACCUUGAGUCCCAAGGAUUUUGCCACCUGCAGUGCCUUGAGAACCAUCACCAGAACCUGUUGGCAGUAACCUCCUGUGUGUUGACAGUAACCUGUCAACAUAGAGCAGGGUGGAUGGCCAAACAUCCACCAACACCAAGCUGUGCAUAGUCAAUAGUUAUUUCGUAUCGUCAAGGUACAGUUAGUAUACUUGACAUUAAAUACUUAAUUUUAAACUCACCAAGGGAAGAAAUGAUGGCACACCUAGUAGAAAUGUGUACAGCUGUGUGGCCAAGUUACCCAUAGCAGCAACAAUUGGGUCUGAAUGGUCGACUUCAGAUGGCUGGUGGGGCAAGAUUUACACAGCCUUUUAAUAUAUGCAGACUCCUGUGUAAUUCCAUGAUGCAUAUACUAUAGUCAGCUCUAGCUUUGAUAGAGGAAAAAAUAACUUGGAAUUAAUGCAGCCAGUUUUAUAUCCAGAAAUGGAAUAGUACAUGCAUGUUGUAGAUACAGCUAACAUGAACUAGUUUCUCCAGCACCUAAUAAGGCUGCUAUGAGACUCCCUCUGCCAAUGAAACUCGUGAAAGAAUGACAAUGGACACUUGUAGCGACAAGGAAAGCCCAUGUAAUAACUAGGGGUAACUGCACCCUAAAAGCUUCAUAUAUAUUACGUUCAGUACACAUGCUUUGCAGUAGGGAUGUACCAAUGUAUCAGUAUCGAAGUAUCGGCCCAUUUUUAGAGUGUCAGUAUUGGCUGAUGUACUGCUGAUACUACCAAAUACCUAAAAACUUAUUGCAUUGCAUAUUACUUGCUUCAAGUUAUUUUGUUAAGUAGAAAUUGGAUAUUUUAUAGUAAUGAAAAAUUAAUUAUUGGUAAUAGUAAAUUAUCUAGUAUCAUACUAUUUUGAGCACACGGUGCAUUGUAAUGCAGAAAAUUAGUAGCGAGCCACAACUGCUACUGUGAAUGUGUAUGAGACACGGUGGUGGUGCUGGGCACUGGGCCUGCCACAACCUGCACCCUUCACAUGACCUCACGCUGCAGUCUGCUGCGGGCUGCCUAUGAGAUAACAUUAGUUAAGGUUUCCCAGCUUAUAUAAUUUUUCUUAUUGGUAGCUCUUGCUACAUGGGGAACUUUCUACUCACAAGUGGUCCAUAAUAAACAUUUCUUAGUCUUAACCCUUACACCCCGUCAGCCACGAUCGUGGCUUGUACGUUAGAUUCCGUCACACCACGAUCAUGGCGCUCUUCAAAUAUCGUCCUCAUUUUGACACAGUUUGUUUAUGUUCGAGGCUAUGUGUCGUACAUCAAGCCCUAUCAUUGGCCCUUUUGUUUCCAACAUGCUGGAUGCUUGGCCAAUCACGUCCCAGCUUUUACAAGGAUUUGUUUAUGUUGUAUUUGGGCUCCAGAUUUUCCCGGGAUGAGUACACGGUCACGAUGUGUGCUGUAUUUUAUCAUUUUUUUUUACCCAUUUCUAGGCAAGAUAGCAGAUAUAUAUGUAUUUCCAUGAGUAAAUAAGUACUUCAGGCACAUGAUGUGAUAGAUGACAAUACAUGAAUUUUUUUUUUUUUCUUAUUAUUGACCUAGAUAAGGAUGAUGUCAGAUGAUGAGUGUGAGGUGAUACUGGAGGUUUCCCAUCUAGAGGAAUAUAUAAG